rnacentral:rRNA from 1 species
GCAUAUCAAUAAGCGGAGGAAAAGAAACCAACAGGGAUUGCCUCAGUAACGGCGAGUGAAGCGGCAAGAGCUCAAAUUUGAAAGCUGGCUCCUUCGGGGUCCGCAUUGUAAUUUGCAGAGGAUGCUUCGGGAGUGGCCCCCAUCUAAGUGCCCUGGAACGGGCCGUCAUAGAGGGUGAGAAUCCCGUCUGGGAUGGGGUGUCCACGCCCGUGUGAAGCUCCUUCGACGAGUCGAGUUGUUUGGGAAUGCAGCUCUAAAUGGGUGGUAAAUUUCAUCUAAAGCUAAAUACUGGCCGGAGACCGAUAGCGCACAAGUAGAGUGAUCGAAAGAUGAAAAGCACUUUGAAAAGAGAGUUAAACAGCACGUGAAAUUGUUGAAAGGGAAGCGCUUGCGACCAGACUCGCCCACGGGGUUCAGCCGGCAUUCGUGCCGGUGUACUUCCCCGCGGGCGGGCCAGCGUCGGUUUGGGCGGCCGGUCAAAGGCCCUCGGAAUGUAACGCCCCCCGGGGCGUCUUAUAGCCGAGGGUGCCAUGCGGCCAGCCCGGACCGAGGAACGCGCUUCGGCUCGGACGCUGGCAUAAUGGUCGUAAGCGACCCGUCUUGAAACACGGACCAAGGAGUCUAACAUCUACGCGAGUGUUCGGGUGUCAAACCCGUGCGCGCAGUGAAAGCGAACGGAGGUGGGAACCCCUCGGGGUGCACCAUCGACCGAUCCUGAUGUCUUCGGAUGGAUUUGAGUAAGAGCGUAGCUGUUGGGACCCGAAAGAUGGUGAACUAUGCCUGAAUAGGGCGAAGCCAGAGGAAACUCUGGUGGAGGCUCGCAGCGGUUCUGACGUGCAAAUCGAUCGUCGAAAUUUGGGUAUAGGGGCGAAAGACUAAUCGAACC